UGGGAAUCUUGGACAAUGGGGCAACCCUGAUCCAGCCAUGCCGCGUGGGUGAUGAAGGCCUUAGGGUCGUAAAGCCCUUUCGCCGGGGAAGAUAAUGACGGUACCCGGUAAAGAAGCCCCGGCUAACUCCGUGCCAGCAGCCGCGGUAAUACGGAGGGGGCUAGCGUUGUUCGGAAUGACUGGGCGUAAAGCGCGCGUAGGCGGAUCGGAAAGUUGGGGGUGAAAUCCCGGGGGCUCAACCUCGGAAUGGCCUUCAAAACUCCCGGUCUUGAGUUCGAGAGAGGUGAGUGGAAUUCCGAGUGUAGAGGUGAAAUUCGUAGAUAUUCGGAGGAACACCAGUGGCGAAGGCGGCUCACUGGCUCGACACUGACGCUGAGGUGCGAAAGCGUGGGGAGCAAACAGGACUAGAUACCCGUGGUAGUCCACGCCGUAAACGAUGAAUGCCAGACGUCGGGGGGCUUGCCCUUCGGUGUCACACCUAAACGGAUUAAGGCAUUCCGCCUGGGGGAGUACGGUCGCAAGAUUAAAACUCAAAGGAAUUGACGGGGUCAUAGCUGUUUCC
rnacentral:rRNA from 1 species